AUUUGGAUUGGUCUCAAAACCGAGGGAGCCUCGUGGAUUUGUUUACAUUGAAUAGGCAGGCUAGGGGCCAGAACCAUGGGGCCCUCUAUUCAUUAUUAUACAGUGAGGAUUUCGGUCUAAAUUACUGCUGUUCAAUCCGCACUGCACGCUUUGAAAGGGCGUCUCAGGCGACCAGCAGAAACGUGACACCAAGGGUACGUGUGCAGAGAAGAGGGCUCCUUACACGAGAUAACCCUCAAAAUGAAAAAAAGAUAUAAUAUAUAUAUAAAAGGAGAGUCAAAAGGCAUUUCAGAAAUGCUCCCAGAAAUCACCGUGCGGCGAUAAAAAAAACACUCCUCUCUGAUAUAUGAUGUGUUUAUUAUUUAUUUGCUUAUUAUAAAAGGUCCCCAAGUUCCCUGCUGGGGGAGUUCAUUUAUUUUGUAUGCAAAAAAAGAAAGAAAGGGGGGAGAGGGAAAAAAUCAUCCCCAAGUAUAACAAGAGACGAACAGUUAGUGCUGAUUUACAUUUGCAUAAAUUUUCAUAUAUUUUAGUGAAAAUAAUAGCGGGAGCCGAGGAGUGCUCCUGCUCAGUUGAGGCAGAGGAAAGAAAAUCUUAGGGAGCACCGAGUCGUAUAAGGGAGAUAACCAUUUACAGACUCCAUAUGAACAAUGUGAAGCUAUUUCCCUCUUCUUGGACACAAGGAGAGCCACAGUCCCCUGGCAACACACACACACACACACACACACACACACACACACACACACCAAACUUUGGUUUUCCUAUGACACCCCUUGUUGUCCCCCAUCCUCCCCCUGAUGCACAACCUCUGGAGGUAAGGGCCUUAGCUUGUGUGCGUGAGUGUGUGUGCUUGCACGGUAUCUUUCCCCCAGCAAAAGCGGACACGCCGUCUCCCCAGCUUCCGUUUUCCUCUGCACGCCCGCUGCUGGAGUAUUCACGCUUCAGGCUGUUUUCUUUGAGAGAGAGAAAGAGAGAGAGAGAGAGAGAGAGAGACGGAGUAUAAAAAUAUGCAAAUGCUAUUGUUGAAGCACAGAAUGAUGGGGGUGGGGGUGGUGGUGGUGGUUGGUGCUCCUUUUACACCCCCUCACCUCCCUUCUGCCGCUGCUGCCACCGUUGCCGCUUCCGCCUCCAUCCAUCCAUCCACCAGAGAGAGAGAGAGGGGCACAUCAAGAGAGAGAGAGAGAGAGAAUGAUCUACACACAUUAAAAAAAAGAGGGGAAGCCCGAGCUGUGGACAGCAGUGGAAAUGAGCUCAGCCGUGCAGUAAGUGUGGCGACCUCGUGGCUAACCCCACACUGUUUCCACCACUCUCCCCACUAAAUGAUGCCUACUGUAUCCUGCGCAGGAGGAGGAGGAGAAGAAAGAGGAGGAGGAUGGAGCCUAAACUCUGCCCAGCCCCCUCUACAAGGGACAUUUUGACUGCUCAUUUGUGACAGUGUUGGUUUGUGCCAGUAGUGUUAACUUGUAGCAAAUUUAAGCGUUAAUAGAUGAGUGAUGGGUGCCUACAUGAACACAAAGAUUUCUGCCAAAGUUAAAACAGUUCUGGUUAUUUCACAUGAGAGAUUUCUGUAUUUCUUUAUUUUUCUCUGCGCUCUUCUCACAGGUUUGGAGUGGGCGGGGCUCAUGUGGGAAAAGGUGAUGUCACAUACUUGCGUGCACCAAUCAGGAUGCAGCAACAUUUGAAUCAGAAUCUGAUGACAGUUGGUGGGUUGUUUGGUCCCUGUCAAUGAAACCUGAUCAAGCAACAGUCCCGAUGAAGCAGAUUAACUAACUUUUUGAGUGUUAACCUCUUAACUGAACACCGAAAUAUGUUUUUAAACUUUUGCUUAUUUAACCAUGAAUAUCAGUGUUAUAGAGAAAUACUUAAGAUGAAUAUGAAAUAUAUUGUUUUUGAGCAUGGAAAUUCACUCUCGACCUUUGGGAACAUUAUGUGUAACAAAAUAAUCAAGAUCAAAGGUCCACUUUUCAGAGCUUUCAACAGUAUCUCAUGGUCUUCCUCAGAGAACAGAGCUGGCUCAGGUGCCAUCACAUGACCUGAUUUCCAGACCAUCCUUGAACCCAGGGAGGAGUUAUAGUCUCUCCCCUAUUUAUGACCACCUGCUAUAAUGUGACCAAUGUUUAUACUUACAGCAGGUCAUGUGACACCUGGGAUAACGCUCAUUUGCUGAAGAAGACCGGUUUAAAGUAAAAAAAAGUGGACCUUAAUUUUAUGUAUAUAUAUUGUUUGGCUGUUAAUUAAAUUGAAUGAAAUAUUAAAACCUAAGAUGUUCUCUUUCUUAUCAUGGUACAUUACAUUAAAUGGAAAAUAUUCUCCUUGUCUUUUACAUUAAACAUCCCAAAAUCCAGCCUGA